UCCGGGAGUCAGACUGCGAGUGCUAAGAUCCGUAGUCAAAAGGGAAACAGCCCAGACCAACAGCUAAGGUCCCAAAGACAGGCUAAGUGGAAAAGGAUGUGGGGUUGCACAGACAACCAGGAUGUUGCUUAGAAGCAGCCACCAUUUAAAGAGUGCGUAAUAGCUCACUGGUCAAGUGGCCCUGCGCCGAAAAUGAAACGGGGCUAAGCCUGGCACCGAAGCUUUGGAUUGACGUAAGUCAGUGGUAGGGGAGCGUUCCUGUUGCGUAGAAGCAGUACCGAAAGGAGCUGUGGAGUGGCAGGAAGUGAGAAUGCCGGUAUGAGUAAGCGAAAAGGCAGGUGAGAAUCCUGCCCGCCGAAAACCUAAGGAUUUCUGGGGAAGGUUCGUCCGCCCAGAGUAAGCCGGGACCUAAGCCGAGGCCGYAAGGCGUAGGYGAUGGACAAUCGGUUGARAAUCCGAUGCCACCAACGACCGUUUGAGGAUGGAGUGACGCAGGAGGGUACGUUUAGCCAGCGGCUGGAAAAGCUGGUCCAAGCCCGUAGGGUGUGUGGUAGGCAAAUCCGCCACACAAAAAGCCUGAGAGGUGAAGGGGAGCGAAAACAAGUAGCGAAGAAACGGAUCCCAAACUGCCAAGAAAAACUUCUAACGAGGUUAGUUGGUGCCCGUACCGCAAACCGACACAGGUAGGUGGGGUGAAAAUCCYAAGGCGCGCGAGAGAACCCUCGUUAAGGAACUCGGCAAAAUGACCCCGUAACUUCGGGAGAAGGGGUGCCUCGGUAUUGUGAAAGAUGAACAUCUGGAGCAAGAAGAGGCCGCAGAGAAAAGGCCCAAGCGACUGUUUACCAAAAACACAGGUCCCUGCUAAAGCGAAAGCUGACGUAUAGGGCUGACGCCUGCCCGGUGCUGGAAGGUUAAGGGGAAGAGUUAGCGCAAGCGAAGCUUUAAACCGAAGCCCCAGUAAACGGCGGCCGUAACUAUAACGGUCCUAAGGUAGCGAAAUUCCUUGUCAGGUAAGUUCUGACCCGCACGAAAGGCGUAACGAUUUGGCACUGUCUCAACGAGGGGCUCGGUGAAAUUGUAAUGACGGUGAAGAUGCCGUCUACCUGCGACAGGACAGAAAGACCCCGUGGAGCUUUACUGUAGCUUGACAUUGGGUUUUGGUAUUUGAUGUACAGGAUAGGUGGGAGACUGAGAAGUYCAUACGCCAGUAUGGAUGGAGUCGCCGUUGGGAUACCACCCUUUAGAUAUUGAAAUUCUAACUUUAGACCAUGAAGCUGGUCUGAGGACAGUGUCAGGUGGGCAGUUUGACUGGGGCGGUCGCCUCCCAAAAAGUAACGGAGGCGCCCAAAGGUUCCCUCAGCGCGGGCGGAAAUCGCGCGUAAGAGUGUAAAGGCAGAAGGGAGCUUGACAGCGAGACCAACAAGUCGAGCUGGUACGAAAGUAGGGCUUAGUGAUCCGGCGGUUCCGAGUGGAAGGGCCGUCGCUCAACGGAUAAAAGCUACCCCGGGAUAACAGGCUUAUCUCCCCAAGAGUCCACAUCGACGGGGAGGUUUGGCACCUCGAUGUCGGCUCAUCGCAUCCUGGGGCUGAAGUAGGUCCCAAGGGUUGGGCUGUUCGCCCAUUAAAGCGGUACGUGAGCUGGGUUCAGAACGUCGUGAGACAGUUCGGUCCCUAUCCGUCGCAGGYGCAGGAAACUUGAGAAGAGCUGUCCCUAGUACGAGAGGACCGGGAUGGACGGACCGCUGGUGUACCAGCUAUCGUGCCAACGGUAGUGCUGGGUAACUAAGUCCGGCAGGGAUAAGUGCUGAAAGCAUCUAAGCACGAAGCCCCCUUCAAGAUGAGGUUUCCCACUACGCAAGUAGGUAAGAUCCCAUGMAGACUACAUGUAGAUAGGCCGGGGGUGUAAGCGCAGYAAUGUGUUCAGCCGACCGGUACUAAUAGAUCGAGGUCUUGACCUAA
rnacentral:rRNA from 2 species